GGGGGCGAACCGGUUUCGACGGGAUUGGUGAAACAGGUAAAGCGGGUAGAGGAUUCUCGUGGGCCUCUAUAAAAACGAGAACUUUAAAAUUAACUGCUGACAAUAACGUAGCAUACGCUGCCUAGUUAAGGCAGCCGUCCUAUCACAGAGCACCGCGGCUGUGAAUAGGGCGUCGAUUAGCGGUGAACGUGACACGGUAACUGUUAUCUAAAACGUGCAUGACAAAUGGUAACUACUCUAACCGAAGCGAGUCUGUAGCGUCGACUUAGAGGAAAUUUAAAAUCAGACUGCACCCGGAGAAAAACUUGCGGAUUCAGUUUCGGACAGGGGUUCAACUCCCCUCGCCUCCACC
rnacentral:tmRNA from 1 species